GGGGAAACCAGACAGGUGAAAGAGGGUGGGGGAACCAGACAGGUGAAAGAGGGUGGGGGAACCAGACAGGUGAAAGAGGGUGGGGGAACCAGACAGGUGAAAGAGGGUGGGGGAACCAGACAGGUGAAAGAGGGUGGGGGAACCAGACAGGUGAAAGAGGGUGGGGGAACCAGACAGGUGAAAGAGGGUGGGGGAACCAGACAGGUGAAAGAGGGUGGGGGAACCAGACAGGUGAAAGAGGGUGGGGGAACCAGACAGGUGAAAGAGGGUGGGGGAACCA